AACGCACAUUGCGCCCGCCAGCACUCUGGCGGGCAUGCCUGUUCGAGCGUCAUUGCAACCCCUCAAGCACAGCUUGGUGUUGGGGCACUGCGUCUCCCGCAGGCCCCCAAAUCCAGUGGCGGACGCGCCAGGUCCCCGAGCGCAGUAGUUUCUUCUCGCUCCGGGCGGCCGGCGUGGGCUUGCCUCGCCCCAUCUCCACAAGGUUGACCUCGGAUCAGGUAGGAAUACCCGCUGAACUUAA
rnacentral:misc_RNA from 1 species